GUCUACGGCCAUGCCACCCUGAACAUGCCCGAUCUCGUCUGACCUUGGAAGCUAAGCAGGGUUGGGUCUGGUUAGUACUUGGAUGGGAGACCACCUAAGAAUACCAGGUGCUGUAGGUG
rnacentral:rRNA from 1 species